rnacentral:lncRNA from 1 species
UUCCCCACUGCUCCCCGUUUCCAUGGCAUGGCCUCUUCCUGCUUCAGGGCCAGCUGAGUCUUCCUCAUCCAUCUGGGCUCUCCGGAAGUCUCCAAGAGAUCGGAAGGAGCCCCUUGGUCCUCUGCCAAGUUCUGUGGGUACUAAUGCAAGGUGCAGAAAAUCGUAUGAAUCAAACACACUAUUCUAUUGUAAGAUGAAGAGGAGGAGAAUGUUUCCUGAGGAAGCGUGGCUGAGUCUUGCUAGGAACCAGGGCUGGAUUGCACCACAGCUCAGACUCCAAGCUGUAUGGGGGGGAAAGGGGGAGGGAGAAGUCAUAACUGUGAGUGACAAGUGAGUGUAAUCUGGAGCCAGGGCAACAGUGGGGGUCUCUCCCAAACCCACUUCAUAGUCCAGAGCUUCGCCCCAACCCAACCAUCUCUGCUUGGGUGGCUUGGUGAGCAGCAGGGCCCAUGUCUAGCUCCAGCCACCGUCCCUUGGGGACUUCCUGCUCUGGAUCCGAGGGGACGGUGGCAAGGCCCUCUGGGUGGAACUGCCCUGGAAGACGCCUCGGAAACUGGACUUUCCAUCAAAUAAAGAAUUAGGGAGGGAAAAUGGCCGACAUACAGAGAUUUAUGAAUAGAGAGAGAAGGGAAGCUUUGUGGUAUUUCCCUCUUAAUAUACUUCUCCCUCAUAAUAAUGUCCCUCAUAAUAUCCCCUUCUCCCUCAUAAUAAUGUCCCUCUUAAUAUACUUCUCCCUCAGAAUAAUGUCCCUCUUAAUAUACUUCUCCCUCAUAAUAAUGUCCCUCUUAAUAUACUUCUCCCUCAUGUCCCUCUUAAUAUCCUUCUCCCUCAGAAUAAUGUCCCUCUUAAUAUCCUUCUCCCUCAUAAUUAUGUCCCUCUUAAUAUACUUCUCCCUCAUAAUAAUGUCCCUCUUAAUAUCCUUCUCCCUCACAAUUAUGUCCCUCUUAAUAUCCUUCUCCCUCACAAUUAUGUCCCUCCUAAUAUACUUCUCCCUCAUGUCCCUCUUAAUAUACUUCUCCCUCAUAAUAAUGUCCCUCUUAAUAUACUUCUCCCUCAUGUCCCUCUUAAUAUCCUUCUCCCUCAUAAUAAUGUCCCUCCUAAUAUACUUCUCCCUCAUAAUAAUCUCCCUCUUAAUAUACUUCUCCCUCACAAUAAUGUCCCUCUUAAUGUCCUUCUCCCUCAUGUCCCUCUUAAUAUACUUCUCCCUCAUAAUAAUGUCCCUCUUAAUAUACUUCUCCCUCAUAAUAAUGUCCCUCUUAAUAUACUUCUCCCUCACAAUAAUGUCCCUCUUAAUAUCCUUCUCCCUCAUGUCCCUCUUAAUAUACUUCUCCCUCAUAAUAAUGUCCCUCUUAAUAUCCUUCUCCCUCACAAUAAUGUCCCUCCGAAUGUCCUUCUCCCUCAUGUCCCUCUUAAUGUCCUUCUCCCUCAUAAUAAUGUCCCUCUUAAUAUACUUCUCCCUCAGAAUGUCCCUCUUAAUAUACUUCUCCCUCAGAAUAAUGUCCCUCUUAAUAUACUUCUCCCUCAUAAUAAUGUCCCUCUUAAUAUCCUUCUCCCUCAUAAUAAUGUCCCUCCGAAUGUCCUUCUCCCUCAUGUCCCUCUUAAUAUCCUUCUCCCUCAUAAUAAUGUCCCUCCGAAUGUCCUUCUCCCUCAUGUCCCUCUUAAUAUCCUUCUCCCUCAUAAUAAUGUCCCUCUUAAUAUCCUUCUCCCUCACAAUAAUGUCCCUCCCAAUGUCCUUCUCCCUCACAAUAAUGUCCCUCCCAAUGUCCUUCUCCCUCACAAUAAUGUCCCUCCGAGUGUCCUUCUCCCUCCGCACUGUCUUCCAGUCCCACCUCCCUGGCCAGGGCCUGAGGUCCCUCUGCCUCCCUCCCGGACCCCCCAGCCUCUCUUCCCUCCCCUUCCCGCCUCCCGGGGCAGGGAGUUCCCCAGGCUUCCCCCGAGAGGAGACCCACCAGAGCCCGGCAGGCGAAGGCGAGGCCGGAA